AAGCCCAACCAAACCAACACGAAUCCUCUCGGAGUCUCCAUUUCUGCCUCGCCGCCGCAAAACCCUAACCCUAAACCUAAUUCCCCUUCCUCUCCGAGCAAAUGGGUCGAGUAAUCCGCGCCCAGCGUAAGGGUGCGGGGUCGGUCUUCAAGUCCCACACCCACCAUCGGAAGGGUCCGGCGCGGUUUCGAUCCCUCGACUUCGGUGAGCGCAACGGCUACAUAAAGGGCGUUGUCACCGACGUCAUCCACGACCCCGGCCGUGGCGCCCCCCUCGCCAAGGUCACCUUCCGCCACCCCUUCCGCUACAAGCUCCAGAAGGAGCUCUUCGUCGCCGCCGAGGGUAUGUACACCGGCCAGUUCGUCUACUGCGGGAAGAAGGCCAAUCUCGUCGUCGGAAACGUUCUUCCUCUCGGCUCCAUUCCCGAGGGUGCCGUCGUAUGUAAUGUUGAGCACCACGUCGGCGACCGCGGAGUUAUUGCCAGAGCCUCCGGUGACUACGCCGUUGUUAUCAGUCAUAACCCUGAUAAUGGCACUACCAGAAUCAAGCUUCCAUCAGGGGCCAAGAAGAUUGUCCCAAGUGGUUGCCGAGCUAUGGUUGGCCAGGUUGCAGGCGGAGGCAGGACAGAGAAACCGCGCUUGAAGGCAGGAAAUGCAUACCACAAGUUCAGAGUCAAGAGGAACUGCUGGCCUAAGGUUCGUGGUGUUGCUAUGAAUCCAGUUGAGCAUCCCCAUGGUGGUGGUAACCAUCAGCACAUUGGUCAUGCCAGUACCGUUCGCAGAGAUGCUCCCCCUGGGCAAAAGGUCGGUCUCAUUGCAGCCAGGAGAACUGGUCGUCUCCGAGGGCAAGCUGCUGCCACUGCUGCAAAAGCCGACAAGAGCGCUUAGAGUUAUCACUAUUUGGAUUCUUUUCGUUCAGUUUUGUCAUGUGCUUGUGGACAUCCUUUUGCUUUGCUCGCACAUAUUACUCGUCAAUAACAAUAUUAUGGUCACACCAAAUUUUUAGUUGACGUAGGGCGGAUAUUCCAUUGCGGGGUUAGAGAUUUUGGAAACGCUCGACAAUUAACAGAUAAUUUGGUUUCUCAAACCAUAACCGUGCUCUCAAGUCUUGACAAUUAACAGAGUUUUAUUUGAAACGCUUGAAACUUUAGUUACUUUUAGACCUCUAGCUUUAGGCUUUACCCAUUAAACUCAAUCCACUACAAUCCAACUAGGCAUGGAUUCUCUAUUUUGAAGAGUUGAGCCGCCUCAUUCGUGUACCUUUCAAUGUAUUUAACUUUUCCAAGCUUCAAAUUAUCGUAUUUUCAUCAUGUAUCUGUAGAGACAAUAAAGGGCGAUUUUAAGAGGUCAACCACGACUGACUCAA